rnacentral:rRNA from 1 species
CUGAACUUAAGCAUAUCAAUAANCCGGAGGA